AGGACGCACUAAAUGACAGAGACACUGACGCGGGAGGCCACGCGGGGGGACCACGAGGGCGAUCCGCGUCUCCGCGAUCGACGGCUGAGGUCCAUUCCCGCACGCAUGGACAGCCUGGAUGCGCUCCCUCCCAAACGCAAUCAAACGACAAUAUUCAAACAUGAUCAGACGGCAAAGAGUAAAUCACGAUAGACCGUCCAGAUUGGAUCGCGAUGAACGGUCCAGAUUCACUUCUU
rnacentral:lncRNA from 1 species